GGGGCGUGUCCAGCCCAGGCCGGAGCUCCAGCCCCUCCCGGACCCAAGAGGGCAUUUAUUGCGCACGCGCGGGGAGGAGCCGCGGGGCACGCCGGGAGCAGGUGUCUCUACACAUGGCUGCUGAGGAAGCAAUCCUCACAGUUCGCCUCAUCCGGUCAUUUGAGCAUCGAAAUUUCAAGCCUGUGGUAUAUCAUGGAGUUAAUUUGAACCAAACUGUGAAGGAAUUUAUAAUAUUUCUAAAGCAAGAUGUCCCUUUGAGGACCAGCCUGCCACCACCACUCAGAAAUUACAAAUACGAUACACUGAAGAUUCUUCAUCAAGCUCACAAAGCAAAGACAAAUGAGCUUGUGUUGGGUUUGGAGGACGACGACACACUCCUGCUGAAGGAAGACAGAACGCUCAAGGACUCAGGAGUAGCCAGUGAAACUGAAAUUGCUUUCUUCUGCGGAGAAGAUUAUAAGAGAUACAAAGCUAAUCCCACUUCCUCCUGGUGAAAGUGCCCGGGGUACACCUUUGCAUUCCUUUCUUCCACAAAUCCAGCCAGGACCUCACUCCUCUGCCUGAGCCAAAGCCCACAGAGGUGGUGCCAGAUGCCUGUGGGUGGGAAGAUGGCGGCCUCUGAGAGGCCACUGGCAGGAGCCUGAAGUGGGCAGGGCUGGAGGCCUGUGGUCCAGCAGCGGCAUGACCUCACCCCCCUGUCCUCUGUGUCCCGAGGUUGUCAAAUCAGCCUGGGGUGCCCUCUCUGCUUCCUGAGCCUGAGUCUAAGGCCAGCUGAUGGUGUUCUCCAGCAAGUCCUCUUGCUCUGUGCCCUCCACGCCCUCUGUCCUAGUCAGCUUGAACUGUCAACAUGGCCAUUAAGUCAUCUGAGAGGAGAGCCUCAAUGCAGGGAUUGCUCAGAUCAGAUGGACCCGCUGGCAGUCUAUGGGGGAUUGUCUUAAUUGCUAACUGAUGCAGGAGGGUCCAGCCCACUGUGGGAGGCACCAUUCCUAGGCAGGGGGUCCUGAGCUGUAUUAAGGAAGCUAGUUAAUCAUGAGCCUGGAUGAGCCAGCGAGCAGCGUUCCUCCAUGGUUUUUGUGGUACUUCCUUGGCUGGGAGUGAGUUCCCAACACAGAAGUGAUGCUGCAUGGACUCGCACAGAGGUCUGGGUGAUGAACUGUGACCUGUAGGCUGGAAUAAGCCCUCUGUCCCCCACGGUGCUUUCAGACAGUGUUUUUAUGGGUAUCUAAACUUAGGUUCUAAUGGUUACAUAACAUGUAUUUUACCCACUGCAGCAGCUCCCCAACCAAAAUAUCUCCUUCUUGGCUCCUAAGUCAACAGCCACCAUCUUCUUACUCUGAGGAAACCCAGUUCCCAUCUCAAGAAGAACAUGGAUCCCAUGUCCAUAUAGGGUUCAAAUUCCAAUUCACCAGCACCGGUCUAACAUCAUUAAUGUCUCCAAGAUUUGUCUUCCUGCUGUGUAAGAUGAGAUUUUUUUCCUUUGGUUUUUUGAGACAGGGUUUCUCUGUGUAGCUUUGUGCCUUUCCUGGAACUCACUUGGUAGCCAAGGCUGGCCUAGAACCCACAGAG